CUCCUUCCGGGUGCAGGCGGGCCUGGGCAGUCUGAGUCCUACCUCAGCCCCCACCUCACCUCCCUGCAUCCUCCUAGCAUCUCUGCAGGGCUAGCCCAGAGGUUGGCGGCGGAAGGCCCACAGCUCCCCUGGCUCCAUGGGCAAUGACCGAACAGCCCUUCACCUCUCUGGGCCUUGUUUUCUCAAACUGAAACUGGAGAGGAUGACCCCAGCCUGGGACCUUCGAGGGCCUCAAAAGGGCUCUGGGCCUUGCGUGGUGAGUUUGGUCACCCACACACCCAUCUUCCCAAAUGCCAGGCUUCACUCACUACAGCGUUCUUUCUUUUCCCUUCAGUAUUUCUCAAAGUUACCCAAACCACAUCCCCUGGGAAGCCUGGUUCAGAUGCUCCUCCAAGAAGCCUCCCUUGAACCCCAGAUAGAAGGGAGCAUCAUUCCUGUGACCUCACCCCACCCCAUCCUCUAUACACUCGAGACUGUUGUAGCCAUACUAGGUGCUAUGAAGGGGAGGGGAUUUGACCUCGGCAGGAUGAUCAGGGAAGGCAUCCUGGAGUACGCAUGAGAUCAGGGAUGGCUGGGUUAACAGGGCAAAGUGGAAAGGAAGGGAGGGUAUUCCAGGCAGCAGGAACAGAAUGUGCAACUGCUCUGAGGCAGCUGGAAGCAUGGUCAGCAAAAAGAUUGGAAAUUAUGCAUGUUUUAUCUAUUCCAAGAUGCUUAAUGUUCACGUUUCACUUUUUGUUUUGUUUUGUUUUUAAGAGACAGAGUCUGAAUCUGUGACCUAGUCUGGAGUGCAGUUGCAAGAUCACAACUCGCUGCAACUUCAACCUCCUGGGCUUAAGCAAUUCUCCUACUUCAGCCUUCUGAGUAACUGGGACUACGGGUGUGUGCCACCACACCUGGCUAAUUAUUUUGCUUGUUUUUUGUACAGACAGAGUCUUGCUGUGUUGCCCGGGCUGGUCUCGAACUCCUGGGCUCAAGUGAUCCUCCCGCCUUGGCCUCCUGAAGGGCUGAGAUGACGGCAUGAGCUGCCUCACGCAGCCCCCAUUCUACACCUCUGAAGUGAGUUUACAUGGUACAGUUGCUGUCUGGCUAGCUGCCGUCCCAACAUCACUGUCAGGACCCACACCUGAAAAGCACCAGCAUCAAAUCCUUCAGAAGAGUGUCAGCAGCUUGGAAGAAAUCCUAGAGGCAAGCAGAACCCUUUUUAGCCCUGGGACUCAAAUGGUGGGAAACCCCAGGGGAAGGGAACCAGGCUUGUCAGUGACACUCCCUUUUUUUUUUUUUUUUUUUUUUUGGUGAGACGGAGUCUCGCUGUGUCUGUCGCCUAGGCUGGAGUGUAAUGGUGCAAUUUCGGGUCACUGCAACCUCCGUCUCCCGGGUUCAAGCAAUUCUCCUGCCUCAGCCACCUGAGUAGCUGGGAUUAUAGGCACCUGCCACCACGCCCAGAUGCUUUUUUGUGUUUUUAGUAGAGACAGGGUUUCACCAUGUUGGCCAGGCUGGUCUCGAACUCCUGACCUCAGGCAAUCCACCCACCUCGGCCUCUGAAAGUGCUGGGAUUACAGGUGUGAGCCACCACGCCCGGCCUGUCAGUGACACUCCUAGAGCAGAGUGAAAACUCGGCUCCACUUCAUCUGCACAAUUGUAAAGCUGGCUUAAGAGCGCCUGGCUGUUUUAUGGAAUGUUUGGAGCAGUACUGCUCUCCGUAGAACUCUCAAGGACUCAGAGAAGGAGGUGGCAGGCAGACACAGACAUCACGACUCUCAGACCAAAAAUGAUUCAAACAAGUUGGACUCUAAAUGUGAAGGAGUUUUCUGAACAUGGCUGGACGAUGAAUGUGAUGGCUGGAACUCAAGCAGCCACAGUGGAUCAUAAGGGACGGUGUCUUGCUAUGUUGUCCAAGCUGGUCUCAAACUGGCCUGAAUCAAUGCUUCCACCUCAGCUGCCAGAGGAACCGGGAUUACAGGCCUGAGCCACUGCAGCCAGCCAGUUUGUUAUUUUAAUGUAAAUUCUUAGUAAACAACUCAGGAGCUCUCUUGUCCUUUUAAAAUCCAUUUCAACUUCUGCUAAUCGGAGUGUAUAUUCAGGGCAACUUGAAUCUGUGCUCCUGGGAUGCAAUCCUCAAGCUUGGCCCAAAUAAAGUCUCCGCUGAUAUUAA